AGCGUGUGAGAAGAAUCUGUGUGCUCCAAGAGGAAGGCGGCAAACGACAUCUAUGGACCGAGCUGCGGCGGAGCUGCUUCAUUUGCCCAGUCUGCCCGCCACUGUGACCCUCCGCAGCACCAGCUGGAGCUCCGCAGCGCAUUAGCAUGGGAGCUGCUGCAGAAG